rnacentral:rRNA from 1 species
AUACAGAGGGUGCAAGCGUUAAUCGGAUUUACUGGGCGUAAAGCGCGCGUAGGCGGCUAAUUAAGUCAAAUGAGAAAUCCCCGAGCUUAACUUGGGAAUUGCAUUCGAUACUGGUUAGCUAGAGUGUGGGAGAGGAUGGUAGAAUUCCAGGUGUAGCGGUGAAAUGCGUAGAGAUCUGGAGGAAUACCGAUGGCGAAGGCAGCCAUCUGGCCUAACACUGACGCUGAGGUGCGAAAGCGUGGGUAGCAAACGGGAUUAGAUACCCUAGUAGUCC